CCUAAAUGUCAUUGCUUAGUUAUUCAUGUUCUCACUUGAAACCACAUCGUCAUCAACCUCUAGUUCAUACUAACACAAGAUACUACAAUGUUAACAGAUUAACAGGAGAGGUCUAGAUACUACAAUGUUAACAGAUUAACAGGAGAGGUCUAGAUACUACAAUGUUAACAGAUUAACAGGAGAGGUCUAGAUACUACAAUGUUAACAGAUUAACAGGAGAGGUCUAGAUACUACAAUGUUAACAGAUUAACAGGAGAGGUCUAGAUACUACAAUGUUAACAGAUUAACAGGAGAGGUCUAGAUACUACAAUGUUAACAGAUUAACAGCAGAGAUCUAGAUACUACAAUGUUAACAGAUUAACAGGAGAAGUCUAGAUACUACAAUGUUAACAGAUUAACAGCAGAGGUCUAGAUACUACAAUGUUAACAGAUUAACAGGAGAGGUCUAGUCACAUGUAGUAGAUGGUACUCCUUAUUCAUCUUUCUUGGAAAAGUUUUUUACCUGCUUGAUUUCUA
rnacentral:lncRNA from 1 species